CGAACGAAGUCUUCGGACUUAGUGGCGGACGGGUGAGUAACGCGUGGGAAUCUGCCUUCAGGAGGGGGAUAACAGAGGGAAACCUUUGCUAAUACCCCAUAUGCCUAUGGGUGAAAUGAAUUUCGCCUGAAGAUGAGCCCGCGUCUGAUUAGCUAGUUGGUGGGGUAAAGGCCUACCAAGGCGACGAUCAGUAGCUGGUCUGAGAGGAUGAUCAGCCACACUGGGACUGAGACACGGCCCAGACUCCUACGGGAGGCAGCAGUGGGGAAUUUUCCGCAAUGGGCGAAAGCCUGACGGAGCAACGCCGCGUGAGUGAUGAAGGCCCUUGGGUCGUAAAGCUCUUUUGUCAGGGACGAUAAUGACGGUACCUGAUGAAUAAGCAUCGGCUAACUCUGUGCCAGCAGCCGCGGUAAUACAGAGGAUGCAAGCGUUAUCCGGAAUUAUUGGGCGUAAAGCGUACGUAGGUGGCGAUUCAAGUCUGUGGUUAAAGCCUGCAGCUCAACUGCAGAAAGGCCAUGGAAACUGAAACGCUAGAGUGCGAUAGAGGUAAGGGGAAUUCCCGGUGUAGCGGUGAAAUGUGGAGAUAUCGGGAAGAACACCAGCGGCGAAAGCGCCUUACUGGGUCGCAACUGACACUGAGGUACGAAAGCCAGGGGAGCAAAUGGGAUUAGAUACCCCAGUAGUCCUGGCCGUAAACGAUGGACACUAGGUGUUGCGCGUAUCGACCCGUGCAGUGCCGUAGCUAACGCGUUAAGUGUCCCGCCUGGGGAGUACGCACGCAAGUAUGAAACUCAAAGGAAUUGACGGGGGCCCGCACAAGCGGUGGAGCAUGUGGUUUAAUUCGAUGCAACGCGAAGAACCUUACCAGGGCUUGACAUACCGUGAAUUCUGGGGAAACUCGGAAGUGCCUUCGGGAACAUGGAUACAGGUGCUGCAUGGCUGUCGUCAGCUCGUGUCGUGAGAUGUUGGGUUAAGUCCCGCAACGAGCGCAACCCUCGUUUUCAGUUGCCAUCAUUAAGUUGGGCACUCUGGAGAGACUGCCGGUGACAAACCGGAGGAAGGUGGGGAUGACGUCAAGUCAGCAUGGCUCUUACGUCCUGGGCUACACACGUGCUACAAUGGGUCGGAUAAAGGGUAGCAAUCUCGCGAGAGGGAGCCAAUCCCAAAAACCGCCUCUCAGUUCGGAUUGUAGGCUGCAACUCGCCUACAUGAAGUCGGAAUCGCUAGUAAUCGCAGGUCAGCAUACUGCGGUGAAUACGUUCCCGGGCCUUGUACACACCGCCCGUCACACCAUGGAAGCUGGUCAUGCCCGAAGUCUGUAUUCUAACC
rnacentral:rRNA from 1 species